GACUAGGUGGAAGCUCGCCGACUCCGCUGUCGUUGUAGAGGAGCUCUGGUUUUUAGAUCCUACUCUCGAAUCUUUUUGGCUCUGAUUUCUUCCCGAUUGCACUGUUUAAUUUGGUAAAGAAGAGCUGUCCCUUUCUUGAAGAUCUCCCCAAUUACAUCUUGCUUUUUAAACCCUUGGUUCUUGCUGUACAAUGAGUUGGAUUCCAUGUAAAGGUGCUUCUUUCUUGGAGAUUUUGUCCUCCCAAAUAAAUGCCUAAUUUGGUUCUUGUUGAUGGUUCUAGCUGAGGCUUGAUUGUGGGGAAUUUUUUUAACUAAACUGAUAAAGGUUUGAUGUGGAUGAAUGAAGGUGGCAAGCGCAGGACUUCUCGCUGCUCAGCCACAGCACCAUCUCCUUCUUCGACGAACCCAAGCCGGAGACAGCCGCCUCACGCUAGAACCGCGUCAGCCUCAUUGCAUCCAAGAUCUCAAUUGCUACCUCAAGAAAGCUUGUUAUGUUCUGUAUUUCUCCUUUGUUUCUUGAAGUUGUUGUGUUUGUGAGCUUUACACAGGUGGGUCAGGGUCUAUCCAGAGACGACAAGGCUCUGAAGCUGGCUUUCCAGCACGGGAUCGAGGCCGAUUUGCGGACUAUCAAUCUAAAUGUAGAUUGGACACUAUUUGGGCAUGUGGAUCUGUGUUGACAUUCUUUUUUAUGUCAUUGUAUAGGUGUAGGACAUUUGACUUACAAAUUGUUUGUAAAGGAACAUAUGUAUGAAUGCUUAUCUAAGUAUAAUUGAGAAUUGUUCAGUUAUAAAUGCAGUGAUAUAUUAUGUUA